rnacentral:rRNA from 1 species
AUUGAACGCUGGCGGCAGGCCUAACACAUGCAAGUCGAGCGGAUGAAGGGAGCUUGCUCCUGGAUUCAGCGGCGGACGGGUGAGUAAUGCCUAGGAAUCUGCCUGGUAGUGGGAGAUAACGUCCGGAAACGGGCGCUAAUACCGCAUACGUCCUGAGGGAGAAAGUGGGGGAUCUUCGGACCUCACGCUAUCAGAUGAGCCUAGGUCGGAUUAGCUAGUUGGUGGGGUAAAGGCCUACCAAGGCGACGAUCCGUAACUGGUCUGAGAGGAUGAUCAGUCACACUGGAACUGAGACACGGUCCAGACUCCUACGGGAGGCAGCAGUGGGGAAUAUUGGACAAUGGGCGAAAGCCUGAUCCAGCCAUGCCGCGUGUGUGAAGAAGGUCUUCGGAUUGUAAAGCACUUUAAGUUGGGAGGAAGGGCAGUAAGUUAAUACCUUGCUGCUUUGACGUUACCAACAGAAUAAGCACCGGCUAACUUCGUG